rnacentral:rRNA from 1 species
CCUACGGGAGGCAGCAGUGAGGAAUAUUGGUCAAUGGGCGCGAGCCUGAACCAGCCAAGUAGCGUGAAGGAUGACUGCCCUACGGGUUGUAAACUUCUUUUAUCAAGGAAUAAAGUGAGGCACGUGUGCCUUUUUGUAUGUACUUUAUGAAUAAGGAUCGGCUAACUCCGUGCCAGCAGCCGCGGUAAUACGGAGGAUCCGAGCGUUAUCCGGAUUUAUUGGGUUUAAAGGGCUCGUAGAUGGGUUGUUAAGUCAGUUGUGAAAGUUUGCGGCUCAACCGUAAAAGUGCAAUUGAUACUGGCAGCCUUGAGUACAGUUGAGGUAGGCGGAAUGCGUGGUGUAGCGGUGAAAUGCUUAGAUAUCACGAAGAACUCCGAUUGCGAAGGCAGCUUACUAAACUGCCACUGACAUUGAUGCUCGAAAGUGUGGGUAUCAAACAGGAUUAGAUACCCGAGUAGUC